rnacentral:rRNA from 1 species
AAACAGUACGUGAAAUUGCUGAAAGGAAACACUUGAAGUCAGUCGUGUUGUUUGGAACUCAGCCUUGCUUUUGCUUGGUGCACUUUCUGAAUGACAGGCCAGCAUCAAUUUUGACCGUUGGAAAAAGGCAGGGGGAAUGUGGCCCUUCGGGUGUGUUAUAGCCUCUUGUCACAUACAACGGUUGGGAUUGAGGACCGCAGCACGCCGCAAGGCAG